rnacentral:lncRNA from 1 species
AAAUUUGUAACUAAAUUUCUUUUGAUUGAAAAAAAAAAGUUACAGUUCAGAGUCUAUUACAAGUCAUAUUGAGUUUGGUUUAUAUACUAUCAGAACCUACUAAAUGAAAUUCAAAUGCAAACUCUAAAUGGAAAUGAAAGGAAUUUGAAUUACAACUAACACCAUCCCUUAAUUCGUAUUCAGCUAAUUAAAAUCAACAA